GGGCCUGUGAUGAUCUGACCGCAACCCUGACAUGCUUCGCCGUAAGCGGCCCAAUAAUCGUCUUUACAAAAUAGCAAACCAUCUUUUUCAAAGUACCAGGAGGAUAGGCCGAUAUCGCAUGCCGAACAUCUGGAAAAUAUAAGAAAAAAGGCGGACUUGAGGGAUGUGUCUUGGGAAGGAAACAUGAAUCACAGACAUUAGGCACAAGAUCGACAGAGUAUGUAAUAAAGCAGCUGACGAUGAUUGGAGCAUAACUUUUUGAAACAAUGCAUAUCGAGCAGCAUGAGCAACACGGGAGACACAAAAGAUAGGACGCCCACGCGAUACGCGUUGACAUUUCGUUGACAACACCUCGUGCGAGCGGCGUCUCGAUGCUCAUCAUAUCGACGAAAUCAAGUUAUCGGUGAUAAUUUGAUUGGAAUAACGCGUUUUUCUUUCCAAAAUAC